rnacentral:rRNA from 1 species
GAUGAACGCUGGCGGCGUGCUUAACACAUGCAAGUCGAACGAUGAAGCCCAGCUUGCUGGGUGGAUUAGUGGCGAACGGGUGAGUAACACGUGAGUAACCUGCCCUUAACUCUGGGAUAAGCCUGGGAAACUGGGUCUAAUACCGGAUAGGAGCGUCCACCGCAUGGUGGGUGUUGGAAAGAUUUAUCGGUUUUGGAUGGACUCGCGGCCUAUCAGCUUGUUGGUGAGGUAAUGGCUCACCAAGGCGACGACGGGUAGCCGGCCUGAGAGGGUGACCGGCCACACUGGGACUGAGACACGGCCCAGACUCCUACGGGAGGCAGCAGUGGGGAAUAUUGCACAAUGGGCGCAAGCCUGAUGCAGCGACGCCGCGUGAGGGAUGACGGCCUUCGGGUUGUAAACCUCUUUCAGUAGGGAAGAAGCGAAAGUCACGGUACCUGCAGAAGAAGCACCGGCUAACUACGUG